GAUGAACGCUGGCGGCGUGCCUAAUACAUGCAAGUCGAGCGAACAGACGAGGAGCUUGCUCCUCUGACGUUAGCGGCGGACGGGUGAGUAACACGUGGAUAACCUACCUAUAAGACUGGGAUAACUUCGGGAAACCGGAGCUAAUACCGGAUAAUAUAUUGAACCGCAUGGUUCAAUAGUGAAAGACGAUUUUGCUGUCACUUAUAGAUGGAUCCGCGCCGCAUUAGCUAGUUUGUAAGGUAACGGCUUACCAAGGCGACGAUGCGUAGCCGACCUGAGAGGGUGAUCGGCCACACUGGAACUGAGACACGGUCCAGACUCCUACGGGAGGCAGCAGUAGGGAAUCUUCCGCAAUGGGCGAAAGCCUGACGGAGCAACGCCGCGUGAGUGAUGAAGGUCUUCGGAUCGUAAAACUCUGUUAUUAGGGAAGAACAAAUGUGUAAGUAACUAUGCACGUCUUGACGGUACCUAAUCAGAAAGCCACGGCUAACUACGUG
rnacentral:rRNA from 1 species